CAAAGGCUUGGUCCUGACUUUACUAUCGAUUUUAGCUAAAUUUACACAUGCAAGUAUCCGCACCCCGUGAGAAUGCCCUACAGUUCCCUGUCCGGGAACAAGGAGCUGGUAUCAGGCAC
rnacentral:rRNA from 1 species